AUUAAUGAUUAAUAAAUGCACCAUAACAUUUAGUACACCAAUAGACAAUAUAGGACUCUUGUGAUGAUAACAUUUUGUGUAAUGCUAAAAACAAUUUUCUUGGGAUUUUUAUUUAUAUUUACACAGACUGAAUUUGUGCACCUGCAGUCCUUUUUUUCAUUGUGCCAGAAGGGUCAAAGAUGAGCUUUUUUCAUGCUACGCAAUCAACUUUGCAAUGUGAUUAUAAUGGGGAUGAUGUCAAGGCAGAAGUAUAAAGGACUGGAAAAGGACUGGACUAGAGAGCCCCAAGCACAGACCAAUUACAAACAAGGACAUGCUUAGUAAAAUAACCAUACUUCAUUUUCAAUAGGCUGUUUUAUUGCCAAUUUCUUGUUUAGUCUGUGUUGCUGCUUUAAAUUACAAAAUACAAACUUUGCAGAAAAGAA